GUGAAAUCAGCAGUGAUUCAGUUUGAUUCCAAAUUUUCGAACACUUUUUUAAAUUGAAUCUGAAACAAAAUAGAACAAAGUAGGUCGUAUUCCCAGCAGUGUUCUAUUCCUUCCAUUUUACUGUGGAGAUGUAUACUUGUAUUAGUGACACAAAGUUGUAAACAAAUCGAUGUCAAGUGUAGAGGAAUUUUGCAUCGCAAGUUUUAGGAAAACAACUUUUAUUACCAAGUCAUAUUUUCCCUCACGGCACGGAUUAUAUUUAUAAUUACCGACGAUCCAUCAUUGUUAUCCGAUUUCGGGGAAAAUCAAUGCUCUUGGUGUAGAAAGGCAAACAUAAGCUGCUACGGAAAACAAGCCAGGAUUGCUUCGAUCAGUGAACACCGAUAAGCUGGUUUGGCUUAAAAACGCUGAAAGGAAGUGAUUUAAAUAAGUACAGCCGAACGGCACACGGGGUCCGGAAAUAUUCAUCUUUGUGAACCAUGGACUGGUUGAUUCGAUCUUGUGGAUAUCUUAUCACGCUGAAGCUCCAAUUGGGUGUCCGUGCUUUGCUGAUAACCAAAUUCAUUGAGUUGUAGAAAAAACACUGGAGAACAGAGCAAGAAAGAUCGGCAAGAGUAUGACCUUGAGGUCUACCGAUUUUAUAAAGCAUUCGUCAGCUGAUGUGGUGCGUCACUGACAAAAGCAACCAGCUUGUAAACAUUCAUGAUGUACAGCCUCCUAAGUUACUGCUGCGGAUGCAGAAGUAAGCUCGCUGCUCGCCAAUACCCGGUGAUGACCAACACAUGAUAUGAUUUAGCAAAAGGCCAGAUGCAGAAGCUUAACGGGGUCAAGGAAGCAGAGCGUUUUUAAUAUUGAACUUUGACGGAUAAACCACCGAUAAACUUUGACUAAACAACGGUAACUACGAGGAAAAAUGUGCUAUCAACAUCAUUGCACUCGAUUACAAUUACAAUGUUAACCACAGCGACGACGAUGUCAUUAGUUAUGAUGAAGAACAUGACGGAAAUGCUUACCAUUCAAGAACCUAUCACUAGAUAACCAUUCAUUGAUACAUCAUUGAUGAUGAGAAACAUUUUAGCAAAUGCGCGUCCACAGGAUAAGUUGCAUAUCAUCAUUGUGUGAUUAUACGAACAACUGAUUUCAUCUACAACAUUUACCACCACGCGAAUCAUAAUUACUACCUAUCAUGAUGUCCUGAUAUCACGAUGUGGGGCUACGCUGCGGUUGUUCCAGAACAAAAAGGAUAGAGAUUAACAUGAUCAUGAGUACGGCAACAUUUUAUAUAAUGAAGGACACUAGGAUAAGAAUUACAUUUGAUUCCAAACGAAAUUCACUCUUCCCACUAUUUCAUUUCUCAUUAACUGACCACUGGCAAGCAAUGGAUAUUAGAAAGCAAUGAGAACAAUAAAACUGUACAUGAUGAAAGUACGCUACGAGAGCACAUAAUCAAAUAUAUUUUGUUAACAGUUUGAAAUAGGAAAUAAACAUACACAUAAACAUAUGUUAUGAAAAGUUGAAAUUAUUCGUUGGUAUUGUAGACGUCGGAUUCAUCAAUAAUAAAGGACUCGUACAAAGCAGAAGUUCCUGCUUCGUCUUUCUGCUGGCUGCUCGCAUAAGAGCACUCGGCUUCUACAUACGUGUUCUCGUUUUGGUAGAGAUCGUUCAAAAGCCUCCUUUUCUUAACCAUUAAAAUUUCUGAUGAGACAUGAUCCAACCCUUCAAUGUUUGUUGUUAUCAGUUUUAGCUGGUUUGCCUCCUCAAGUGCAGCUACAUGGCGUUCGAGUAAGGUGUUUUUAUCACUCACCGCUGCAGCCACCUUUUCCAGUGCUUCUAUACGUCUCAU